rnacentral:lncRNA from 1 species
CAGCAAUCCUUCCAUCGCUGUGGUCCACUGAAGGACGGCAGACGUGUAAUUUCUCACCAACUGGUAGAUUCAGGAGAUUUUUAUUUAUUAUUUUUAUAUAAAAGUUUACCUCGAUGCUGUUUUAAAGAAAGUUACUGCUAAAUUAAAAGGUUCAUUUUUACGUUAGAGGUUCUGAUUUAUGGAGCAGCUCUGUGAGUGUUCAAUUCCUGCCCUUCUGAGAGCAGCAAGGUCAGAACUUUGUCAGCCUGCAGAGAGUUCACCUCAUCAACGGAAAACACAGAGAAAAUGCCUCUUGAAUUCAUCUCUUACUGGUAUUCAAAAAAUGGUUAAGUGUACCACGGGAAGAAAAGGAAAAAACCUCAAAUCAAAUUAAAUAUUUUUCUGGAAUGCUCUCAACCUCCAAGUUUUACUUCCUUUUAAUAAAGGUACUAAAAUAAUACACAUUUAUACAUACGUCUGAGGAUAAAUGGAAUACAUCUGCUUUCAUGACAAACAUUUGAUAAAAUUUAAAUCUUCUUUUAACAAAUUUUGGUCAAGUUUAUCUACCUCAACCUUUUCUCAGCCAUUGAUGGACGACAAGUAAGCCAUCGGCUGUCCGUGCUUCAGUAACUUAAUCAUAAUAAUAGUUCCCAUCUCAAACAACCGCUUUAAAGACAAAAAAGAGAUAUUGAUGUAAACUACUUAGCAGAGUGCCUGGCCAAUGGUAAGCCUGAUCUUGAACAUGCGGUUUUGCCUUCUGGCAUGUCUAUGAAAGAAAGGAGACUCCAGAUGAUGUUUUCUUCCUUCAGGACUGGGAGGGGGUUACUCUUUCUUCUGCUGGAAGAGGAGAGAAAAAUGACAUGUGGGAAGGAAUAAAGAGCAGCAAAAAGGACCAGUAUCCUGAAAAAAUUCCUGAUUAUUAGAGAUACAUUGUCACUGAACUCUGAUACAGAAUUGGAGUAUCAUCCCACAUUGAUAAGAAUCUCACACUUUUCAAAACAAAUCAAAUUGAUUAAAAAUAUUGGC